CGUCGCUUCCGUUGCCGGGGAAACGACCCGGGACCUGGGAGGGAGCAAAGACGUUUCCCGCCGGCGGGAGCUGUGUCUGUGGUUGAGAGAGGGGCUAAAGGCGGGUCCCAGCGCUGCCGCACCAUGGCGGACCAGCUUUAUCUGGAAAAUAUAGACGAGUUCGUCACGGACCAAAACAAGAUCGUGACAUACAAAUGGCUGAGCUAUACACUAGGGGUUCAUGUUAACCAGGCCAAACAGAUGCUGUAUGAUUAUGUUGAAAGGAAACGAAAAGAAAAUUCAGGAGCCCAACUGCAUGUUACCUAUUUGGUGUCUGGCAGUCUCAUUCAGAAUGGACAUUCCUGCCACAAGGUUGCAGUAGUGAGAGAAGAUAAAUUGGAAGCAGUGAAGUCCAAGCUAGCUGUGACUGCCAGCAUCCAUGUGUACAGCAUCCAGAAAGCCAUGCUAAAGGACAGUGGGCCUCUGUUCAAUACUGACUAUGACAUCCUUAAAAGCAACUUGCAGAACUGCAGCAAAUUUAGUGCUAUACAAUGUGCAGCUGCAGUCCCUAGAUCUCCUGCUGAAUCUUCUUCAUCUUCCAAAAAGUUUGAGCAGUCACAUCUUCACAUGUCAAGUGAGACACAAGCCAACAAUGAGCUGACCACCAAUGGUCAUGGCCCACCUGCAUCCAAGCAGGUUUCCCAGCAGCCCAAAGGAAUUAUGGGAAUGUUUGCCUCCAAAGCUGCUGCUAAAACCCAAGAAACCAACAAGGAAGCUAAAACAGAGGCUAAGGAAGUAACAAAUGCAUCUUCAGCAGGCAACAAGGCCCCAGGGAAAGGGAAUAUGAUGAGCAACUUUUUUGGAAAAGCUGCUAUGAAUAAACUUAAAGUCAAUUUGGACUCAGAACAAGCAGUGAAAGAAGAAAAAAUAGUAGAGCAGCCUACAGUAUCUGUCACUGAACCAAAGCUGGCAGCUCCUGCAGGCCUGAAAAAAUCCAGCAAAAAAGCAGAGCCUGUUAAGGUGCUGCAGAAGGAAAAAAAAAGGGGGAAGCGAGUAGCGUUAUCUGAUGAUGAGACAAAGGAAACUGAAAACAUGAAGAAAAAAAGGAGAAGAAUCAAACUUCCUGAAUCUGAUAGCAGUGAAGAUGAAGUCUUCCCAGACUCUCCUGGGGCUUAUGAAGCUGAGUCACCACCCCCACCUCCUCCUCCGUCUCCACCUCUUGAACCAGUGCCAAAGACUGAGCCUGAACCUCCUUCUGUCAAGAGCUCAAGUGGAGAAAACAAAAGAAAACGAAAACGCGUACUAAAAUCUAAAACUUACGUGGAUGAGGAAGGCUGCAUAGUGACUGAAAAAGUCUACGAGAGUGAAUCCUGCACAGAUAGUGAAGAGGAGCUUAAGAUGAAGACAUCCUCAGUACACAGACCCCCUGCCAUGACUGUGAAAAAAGAACCCAAAGAGGAACGAAAGGGCCUCAAGAAAGGGACUGCUGCUCUGGGCAAAGCCAACAGACAGGUGUCCAUUACUGGCUUCUUCCAGAGGAAAUAAACUGCCAUCUCUGGUAGAUCAGAGACUUGAAGUGGUCAAGGGAGAAGACCAAGAAAUGUGCUCCUCACUUACUAUGUAAGUUCAUCUAGAUCUCCACCUCACUUGUAUCAAAAGACUGUUCUUUCAUCCUGUGAGGUUUAUACUAUUUCUGGUUUUUAACCAAAAGGAAAUCAUCUGGAAGCAGGAGACAAAAAGCUGUUACCUUCUAAUGACAUUUAAAAAGCACAAUCUUUGACCUGUCCAGGAGAAGGAUUUACUCCAAAAUUAUACUGGAACAGUUUUCAGAAUUCUCACUGAAGCCGUUUAGUGGCUAAUCCACUGUUCCCCACUCGCCUUAUGCCCUGGUCCGCAUAUGGCACAGGAAUUAUUCCUUCUUGUUCCUCUGUAUUCUGAGAAUUCAUGUGGGUGUUUCUUAUCCUUACAUUCUGCUGGAUGUGUUUACCCCUCUUGUCUUCCUCCAGUACCACACUUCUGUCCCCUAACCUCCUGAGGCUGUUCUCUGUAAGUCUUUUAAGUCUUGGUUGGACUAAAGGCUGAAGUGAAAAUCUCCCUGUAAUCCUCUUCCUCCAUUAUGCAGUAUAUGGACACCUGGCCACAGACCAGGACAUGGCUUGUGUUCUGUUCCUUUCACAAAAGCUCUCUGGGACCUUCACUCUCAAUUAGUGGUUAGGGAAAAGCCUCAGGCAGAACACAAAUAGAAAUUUAAUGAUGUGUUCAACUCCACCAGAAAUUACCUCGAGUCAGCAUUGACGAUAUUGGAGGAGCUGCCGUGCUGCUGACACGGGGUGUGCUUUAUGCUGCUUUUUUUGGUUUGUUGAUCCCUCUCCCCCACUCUCAGUACCUAGAGAGUGAAACCUGUACAAUGAGAUAAAGACUAAAAAGAGAAAUCCCUUCCUAUAUACAGUGUACUACAUUUACAUAAAAUUUCUUCUUUUUAAGAAAACAGAAUAUUCAAAAACAGCACUUUUCCAGGAAGUUAGUGAGGAAGAUAAGGCACACAUUUAUACAUGGAUGUUGCUCCUUUGUAUUUGUAGCUCCCCUAUUUGCUUAAAAGUAGAGGCUCCCCAAGAGAGGAUGGAGAGGGAGAGACUGAACUGUUAGUAGUCUAAACAGCAAAGAAAACAUUUUUAUUAGUUACUUAUGGAAAAUCGUCUAUUACAAUGAUAACCUUCAAGCGACUUCCAUUAUGGCUGGACAGGCGGUGAGCUCAGUGGAUUGCAGUGGUGUGCUGGUGAUUUUGCAGUGAGCUCUGUGGAAGGGGUCACACUCAGCUGCUGAUGUGUCUCACACGUAGCAGACAAGAGGUGUCUGACCGGCUUCUUCCGCCUCAGGCUGGUGUGUGUCGUAAGUGAUGCAAUCAGCUGUCUCCUCUUUAAGGUUGGGAUUGUGCUGACCUUGGGAUUAACAUGAGCUUCUUUAGCAACCAAGCAUGAACUUGAUUAAGACCAGAAGUGUGGGAGAUGAGUCCUGGCAUUAUGUCUAGGGCUAAAGCAGUGGCUUUGUAUAGCAAGCUGUAUAGCAAGGUUGACAUACUCCAAAACCCUUUCUUUUUAAAAUGAAAAAGGAUGGAGAGAAGGAUGGAAAGCCUGGACUUAAACCAUUAGAAAAAACUUCUGGAGAGAAAUCCCUUUUAAACAGUUAUUUUUGUCAUUGCCUCUGGUCAUUUGUCUAAGUAGGAAUGGAAAAUUAAAAGCAACAAUCCAAUCUUUUUUCUAAAAAUUAUGCUGGGGUCUCGACUAAAACAAUUUGAAUUGGAAAAUUCUGGUGCUGGUUGGAGUUCCAACUUUCAAGGGAUAAUACGAAUCCUAUGAUCUCUAUGCCCAAUAUGCUGCCUCAACUUGAGCUGCUGCAAGGCUUAAGACAGGAAACUCAAGCAGGCUUUGGCAAUUUGAAUUGAGGAAGAAGAUGAAGCUAUAGAGAUAGUGCCCAAAGGAGGCAGAAAACUCCCCAAGGCAUUGUUCAUGUGAAGAAGCAGACAACGUAGACAUUAAAGACAGGAAAGUGAAGGCAAACUCUAUUGUAUUCUACUAAAGGAAGAAUCUUCAGCAUUGUGACAUUUCUGCUAAAAGUAACUCCAACUUUGAAAAGCCCUUCCUCUGGCUUGCUAGAAAACUAAUUGGAGAUCCUAACUUGGAGUUUGUUGCUAUGCUUGCCCUUGCCCCACCAGAGGUUGUCAUGGACCCAGCUUUGGCAGCACAAUAUGUCAUGAUUUACAGGUUGUUCAGAUGCUCUCCCGAAUAAGAAUGACGAUCUGUGAGAAAAUGAAGCUGGAGCCCAGCAUCAGAAGUCUAGUUUUAUAAGCAUCUGUGCUAUGCUGUCAGUAGUGUGGUGUGUUUGCCAUUUUAUUAUGUAGCUAAGCAGAACAUGUGCUUUAUCUUUGGGAUGCUGAAGGAGAUGAAUGGACUUCAAAAAUACCUUCAAUUUUUGGACCUGCAUAUUUAGCUGUUUUGGUUGUUUCCUUCUGGUGUUUCAUAUAUAUUAGGGUGGUGCAGAAGUUAUUGCAGUUUUUGCAAUACGUUGGCAAAAACUACAAUUACUUUUGCACCAGCCUAAUAUUUCACAUCAUAAUAUUCAGUGGUGAGGAUCUUAUUUUACUGCCAUUCCCAUUCCUUUUCAUUUAGAAACAGAAUGAAGUUGUAUUUCAAAUACCUAAGAGAGAGAUACACACACACACACGUACAUAGUGUGGUCCAUAACAUAAGUAGAAAUAAAAUACUUGACAAAACUAGCACAAAGGAUGGGAGGAGGGAGUAUGGAAGUAUAGUAUACUCUUCUUCUUAUGUUAUACUUGAGGUGGUAUAUUAUUUUUAAAUUAAUAACUUUAAAUAAUUUAACUGUUUUAAGUUAAAUGUACAUAUUGUAAACCUGGAGCAACCACUGAAAACAACGAUGUAACUCAAAAGUAUAGUUAAUAAGCCAAUAAUGGAGAUGAAAUGGAAUACUAAAAUUACCAAUGAAUGUUAGAAAAGAAGGAAAAAAGGACAAAGAAUAGAUGGGACAAAUAGAAAGCAAUAAAAAGACAUUAGACUUAACCGUAUCAACAUUAAAUGUAAAUGGAAUGAACACUUCAAUUAAAAGGCAGAAACUA